rnacentral:tRNA from 1 species
GGUCAUGGCUCAGUGGUAGAGUGCUUGCCUAGCAUGUAUGAGGUACUAGGUUCAAUUCCUAAUACCA